rnacentral:rRNA from 1 species
GAUGAACGCUGGCGGCGUGCUUAACACAUGCAAGUCGAACGAGAAGUGGAGACGGAAACCUUCGGGCGGAAGACUUUACUUCGAGUGGCGGACGGGUGAGUAACGCGUGGGUAACCUGCCUCAUACAGGGGGAUAACAGUUGGAAACGACUGUUAAUACCGCAUAAGACCACAGCACCGCAUGGUGCGGGGGUAAAAACUCCGGUGGUAUGAGAUGGACCCGCGUUCGAUUAGCCAGUUGGCGGGGUAACGGCCCACCAAAGCGACGAUCGAUAGCCGAUCUGAGAGGAUGACCGGCCACAUUGGGACUGAGACACGGCCCAAAAUCCUACGGGAGGCAGCAGUGGGGAAUAUUGCACAAUGGGGGAAACCCUGAUGCAGCGACGCCGCGUGAGUGAAGAAGUAUUUCGGUAUGUAAAGCGCUAUCAGCAGGGAAGAAAAUGACAGUACCUGAGGAAGAAGCCCCGGCUAACUACGUG